GAUGAACGCUGACAGAAUGCUUAACACAUGCAAGUCAACUUGAAUUUGGGUUUUUAACUUAGGUUUGGGUGGCGGACGGGUGAGUAACGCGUAAAGAACUUGCCUCACAGCUAGGGACAACAUUUGGAAACGAAUGCUAAUACCUAAUAUUAUGAUAAUAGGGCAUCCUAUAAUUAUGAAAGCUAUAAGCGCUGUGAGAGAGCUUUGCGUCCCAUUAGCUAGUUGGAGAGGUAACGGCUCACCAAGGCGAUGAUGGGUAGCCAGCCUGAGAGGGUGAUCGGCCACAAGGGGACUGAGACACGGCCCUUACUCCUACGGGAGGCAGCAGUGGGGAAUAUUGGACAAUGGACCGAGAGUCUGAUCCAGCAAUUCUGUGUGCACGAUGAAGUUUUUCGGAAUGUAAAGUGCUUUCAGUUGGGAAGAAACAAAUGACGGUACCAACAGAAGAAGUGACGGCUAAAUACGUG
rnacentral:rRNA from 1 species